UAAGGAAUAUUGGUCAAUGGAGGCAACUCUGAACCAGCCAUGCCGCGUGCAGGAUGACUGCCCUAUGGGUUGUAAACUGCUUUUGUACGGGAAGAAACCCUGAUACGUGUAUCAGGUUGACGGUACUGUAAGAAUAAGGAUCGGCUAACUUCGUGCCAGCAGCCGCGGUAAUACGAAGGAUCCAAGCGUUAUCCGGAUUUAUUGGGUUUAAAGGGUGCGUAGGCGGCUUAUUAAGUCAGUGGUGAAAGCCCGGAGCUUAACUCCGGAACUGCCAUUGAUACUGAUGAGCUUGAAUAUACUUGAGGUGGGCGGAAUGUGUCAUGUAGCGGUGAAAUGCUUAGAUAUGACACAGAACACCAAUUGCGAAGGCAGCUCGCUAAAGUAUUAUUGACGCUGAGGCACUAAAGCGUGGGGAUCAAACAGGAUUAGAUACCCCGGUAGUCC
rnacentral:rRNA from 1 species